UACGAGGGGUGCAAGCGUUGCUCGGAAUUAUUGGGCGUAAAGGGUAGGUAGGUGGUCUCAUUUGUCCGGGGUGAAAGCCUUGAGCUUAACUCAAGAAGUGCCCCGGAAACGGUGAGACUGGAGUCCUGGAGAGGGUCGUGGAAUUCCCGGUGUAGAGGUGAAAUUCGUAGAUAUUCGCAAGAACACCAGUGGCGAAGGCGGCUCACUGGCCCGAUACUGACGCUGAGGCACGAAAGCGUGGGGAGCAAACAGG
rnacentral:rRNA from 1 species